GCUAAUGCAGUCAGCUUCUCUCCCGAGUGCUUGCUCGCUGAUGAAAGGAGGAGGGGCGGAUGGGGGAGGAACACGUGGGUGACCUAGGGGAGAGGGGGAUAACACUUGGAAACAGGUGCUAAUACCGCAUAACAGUUUAUGCCGGAGGCAUAGGAGUGAAGGGCGCUUUCGUGGUGUCGCUGAUGGAUGGACCCGCGGUGCAUUCGCUAGUUGGUGAGGUAACGGCUCACCAAGGCCACGAUGCAUAGCCGACCUGAGAGGGUGAUCGGCCACACUGGGACUGAGACACGGCCCAGACUCCUACGGGAGGCAGCAUGAGGGAAUCUUCGGCAAUGGACGGAAGUCUGACCGAGCAACGCCGCGUGAGUGAAGAAGGUUUUCGGAUCGUAAAACUCUGUUGUUAGAGAAGAACAAGGACGUUGGUAACUGAACGUCCCCUGACGGUAUCUAACCAGAAAGCCACGGCUAACUACGUGCCAGCAGCCGCGGUAAUACGUAGGUGGCAAGCGUUGUCCGGAUUUAUUGGGCGUAAAAGCGAGACGCAAGCGGUUUCUUUAAAGUCUGGAUGUGAAAGCCCCCCGGGCUCCAACCCGGGGGGGAGGGUCAUUGGGAAAACUGGGAGGAACUUGAGUGCAGAAGAGGAGAGUGGAAUUUCCAUGUGUAGCGGUGAAAUGCGUAGAUAUAUGGAGGAACACCAGUGGCGAAAGCGGCUCUUCUGGUCUGUAACUGACGCUGAGGCUCGAAAGCGUGGGGAGCAAAACAGGAUUAGAUACCCUGGUAGUCCACGCCGUAAACGAUGAGUGCUAAGUGUUGGAGGGUUUCCGCCCUUCAGUGCUGCAGCAAACGCAUUAAGCACUCCGCCUGGGGAGUACGACCGCAAGGUUGAAACUCAAAGGAAUUGACGGGGGGCCCGCACAACCGGUGGAGCAUGUGGUUUAUUCCGAAGCAACGCUAAGAACCUUACCAGGUCUUGACAUCCUUUGACCACUCUAGAGAUAGAGCUUUCCCUUCGGGGACAAAGUGACAGGGUGGUGCAUGGUUGUCGUCAGCUCGUGAUGUGAGAUGUUGGGGUUAAUCCCGCACUAGGUGCAACCCUUAUUGUUAGUGGCCAUCAUUUAGUUGGGCACUCUAGCGAGACUGCCGGUGACAAACCGAAGGAAGGUGGGGUUGACGUCAAAUCAUCAUGCCCCUUAUGACCUGGGCUACACUCAUGCUACCAUGGGCAGUACAACGAGUCGCUAGCCCGCGAGCCCAUGCAAAUCUUUUAAAGCUUCUCUCAGUUCGGAUUGCAGGUUGCAACUUGCCUGCAUGAAGCCGGAAUCGCUAGUAAUCGCGGAUCAGCACGCCCCGGUGAAUACGUUCCCGGGCCUUGUACACACCGCCCGUCACACCACGAGAGUUGUAACACCCGAAGUCGGUGAGGUAACCUUGGAGCCAGCCGCCAA
rnacentral:rRNA from 1 species